rnacentral:rRNA from 1 species
UACGUAGGGGGCAAGCGUUGUCCGGAAUUACUGGGCGUAAAGAGCUCGUAGGUGGUUUGUCGCGUCGAUCGUGAAAACUUGGGGCUAACCCUGAGCUUGCGGUCGAUACGGGCAUGACUGGAGUUCGGCAGGGGAGACGUGGAAUUCCAUCGGUGUAGCGGUGAAAUGCGCAGAUAUCAGGAGGAACACCGGUGGCGAAGGCGGGUCUCUGGGCCGAUACUGACGCUGAGGAGCGAAGCGUGGGGAGCGAACAGG